rnacentral:lncRNA from 1 species
AUAGAGGGAACCAUGAGGAGAGUAAAGUACCUUCCUUGGCUGAUCCCUUUCGCUGUAUGGCGUGCUCAUUUGGGUUGGGCGUCGGCUAAGAGUGCUCGGAGCUUGGAUUAACUCCAGUCGCCAAUCAGGUGUGUAUCUCUCGCUACUCUAGCUGUAGGAUGGCUACUUCGGGCCGCGAUGGGCCGAAAGGGGUCAUGUGGACCCAAUGGGCCUACGGGCCCAAUUGGAAAAGUUGUUUGAUUGUGUAGUAAAUAUUGGACUAGGCUAGGUGAAUCUCAUAUUUGUGGCUAGAUUUGGGCUAAAAGGGCCACACGAGCGUGUGGGCCCAUUUGGGCCGAGAAUAGGCUUUAGGCCCAUUCGUAUUGUUAUCCCUGUUUAGAAUACUUUAGUUUACUAAAAUUAUCGAAAUACCCUUAGUUUGUAAAAAUACUGAAAUACCCUCGAUUUGUAAAAUUACUGAAAUACCUUCGACUUGUAAAAUUACCAAAGUACCCCCGAUUUACAGAAUUACCGUUUUACCUCCGAUUUACAUAAUUACCGUUUUACCCCCGAUUUACAUAAUUACCGUUUUACCCUCGACUUACAAAAUUAUCGUUUUACCCUCGAUUUAUAGAAUUACCGUUUACCCUCGAUUUAUAGAAUUACUGUUUUACCAUUGAUUUAAAGAAUUACUGUUUUACCCUCGAUUCACAAAAUUACUAAAAUACCAUUGGUUCGUAAAUAGGCUUUAGGCCCAUUCGUAUUGUUAUCCCUGUUUAGAAUACUUUAGUUUACUAAAAUUAUCGAAAUACCCUUAGUUUGUAAAAAUACUGAAAUACCCUCGAUUUGUAAAAUUACUGAAAUACCUUCGACUUGUAAAAUUACCAAAGUACCCCCGAUUUACAAAAUUACCAUUUUACCUCCGAUUUACAUAAUUACCGUUUUACCCCCGACUUACAUAAUUACCAUUUUACCCCCGAUUUACAUAAUUACCGUUUUACCCUCGACUUACAAAAUUAUCGUUUUACCCUCGAUUUACAGAAUUACCGUUUACCCUCGAUUUAUAGAAUUACUGUUUUACCAUUGAUUUACAGAAUUACUGUUUUACCCUCGAUUUACAAAAUUACUAAAAUACCAUUGGUUCGUAAAAUUAGUAAAAUUACCAAAAUACCACUGGUUUGUAAAAUUACCGAAAUACCCUUAAUUUGUAAAAUUACCAAAAUACCCCUAAUUUACAAUGUUACAGAAAUACCCUUGACUUUCUAAAAAUUAUAGAAAUACCAUUGGUUUACAAAAUUACUGAAAUACCAUUGGUUUGUAGAUUUACCAAAACACUCUUGUAGGAUGAAAUGACUAAAAUACCCCUAUUAGGUAAAGUGACCGUAAAGCCCCUGUAGGGUAAAGUGACCGUAAUACCCCUGUAUGGUAAAAUAACGAAGAUGCCCUUAUGUUCCGUAUGACUGAUGUGUUUAGGAUUUACAUGUAUUGAUAUUGGAUUAGUUAAGUUUGAGUGACAGGUGGUGGUUAUCGUAACAGGUGUGUACUAACCCUCAUAAUAGCUUAGAUUAAUAUUUGCUGAGAAGCCGAAAUGCUAAAAUACCGGUAUUUCGAGAACUUGUAAUGUUGCGUUUGGGUAUAGAUGCGAUAAAUACGAUAUGAUCGGUGUUUGGAUCGAUGGAACAGGUAAGACUCAAUUUUGUGCACGAUGGUAAGUUGGGCCUCAAUGGGCUGGAAUCGGGCCCAAUAGGCUUCGGGCCCAUUUGGGUAAAACUGAUAGAAAAUGGAAUAUUGAAAAGUUGCAUGUUAACACGAUUAGUACUGUUGUAAAAUUUGGAUUAUGUGGGCUUAAUGGGCUAAAUCGGCAUUCGUAGGGCCCAUUAGAGGUUUUGGGCCCAAAAGCCUGAGUUUAAUAAAGUGGGUUCAUUAUUUAAACACUCGGAAAUAUUGAUAAUUGUUGAUGAACAUGGAACACCCUGAUAUUUGGUAAAAUUUCGAAAUCGCCCUUAUAAUGUGAAAAAUGACUAUUUUACCCUUGUGGGCAAGUGACUGACUUGGACUGUGUGGUUGACGGAUUUGAUUGUGAAUAUAUGUUGGUGAUAUGAAUGACUUGACUGUGCUUGUUUGAUUCAAAUAUGGGCAUGUUGCAUGGGUUGGGUUUUAUAAAUGGAGGAAGUGCUAAAAGGGCUAUGCCCCAGUUUACCGAAAAGGGAUUUGCCCCAGUUUAUCAAAAAGGGCUUUGCCCCAGUUAUUAAAAGAGGCUAGGCCUCCAGUUAUAUGAUAAAGCAGCUAUGCUGCCAGUGGAGAGUUUGGUUGGGUGGGUUGAGUUAUUCCCCACAUGGAGAGCUUGGUUGGUACGGGUGGAGAGUAGCGGAUGGUGGGUUGAGUAGUCUCCCCAUAUGGGCUUGCAUACAUUCAUUGGUAUUUCAUAUGAUAUUGAAAUGGGCUUGCAUACAUCCAUUGACAUUACAUGUGACAUUUAAAUGGGCCUAAGGGCCAUACCGUUUACGAUAAAGGUUUCGGCCCAGUGAAAUGAUUUAUGAAAAGGCUUCAGCCCAGUGAUAUGAUUUAUGAAAAAGCUUUAGCCUAGUAAUCGUUAAAUGAAAGGCUUCGGCCCAGUAUAUGUCAAGACUAAAUAGGGCUUUGGCCCAGAUUGUACUGAUACUGUGUUUUCACUGUUUGUUUGUUAUUGGGAUUACACACUGAGUUUUCAUAAACUCACCCCGUUUCUAACUGUGCAGGUAAUCCCUAAGCUUAGAUGGUUUGGAGCUGCGAGGGACUCGGAGAUGGCCACACUACUGUUUAUGUUUCUUUUAAUUGCAAUAAGUAGCCGAUUUAUUUCUUUAUAAGUUUUAUCUUAUUAAUAUUAUUGUUUGGUUUUGAGUUGUAAUAAGGCCAUUUUAAUUAUUUUUCUGGGAUUAUUUUAUUUUUAAUAACUUUAAUCUGUUUGUUAAUAAAUGGGCUAGACUUAGGACGUGCUUUCAAAAUGAUAAUUGUUUUCAAAAUAACACCACGCCACGAUUAUCCAAUUUAUCAAAUAUUUCAACUUAAAUAAAUUACAACUCGAUUUAACCAAGUGUGGCAAUGGUUGUGGGCAUGUCUAGGAUUGGAUCCAUUAGAAGAGCUUGGUACUUAAGCAGCCUUCAUGGCUCACCUCCUCUGUUACGGAUUCCUACCUGGUGCCCAACUCCCAUUCACUUUGUUAGCUUAAAAAAAGUCAGUUUUUAAAGAACUAAAAUGAAACAUGGGUUUUUAACUUCAAUGUGGCACAUCAGAUUCAGCCAUAAUGUCUGGUCCGGGUUUGGGGUGUUACAGUGCCUAUGGUUAUACCUUAGUAACUCUGAAUCAAAUAUUAUAUGAAUUAUACUUAAUGGUAUUUAGAUUAACUGUUAUACUAUGUCCUUACUAAGCUUUUGAAGCUUAUCGAUUUUUGUAGAUUGUUUUAUAGAUAACCAUCGUUGACACAUUGGAAGGAUCAUUCAACUGACACACACUAUCCAUCAAACUUGGUAGUUUUUGUGUCUCUUAGGGUAGUGGCAUGUAUAUAUAUAGAUGAAUAUGGGGUUGAAGGGCAUAGGAUGUUUUGUAUUGGUAUUUAAGUAUGUUUAUACUUUGAAAGUUUGGGUUGGUGUACUUUACUGCUUUACCAAGUAUUGUCAUUUUGGGCAAUUCCAAAUACUUGUAUGUAAGGUUCCAUGUUGGUAUUUUAUGAUGUAAUGAAAAUAGUUAUUUGAGAUAAGUUUUGGUAAGAG